AAGUAAGAAGCAAUAAAUUGCAAUUAGUUUCGACCUAAUCAUAGAUGUAGACAUCCUUAUUUU
rnacentral:tRNA from 1 species